UACGUAGGGCGCAAGCGUUAUCCGGAAUUAUUGGGCGUAAAGAGCUCGUAGGCGGUUUGUCGCGUCUGCCGUGAAAGUCCGGGGCUCAACUCCGGAUCUGCGGUGGGUACGGGCAGACUAGAGUGAUGUAGGGGAGACUGGAAUUCCUGGUGUAGCGGUGAAAUACGCAGAUAUCAGGAGGAACACCGAUGGCGAAGGCAGGUCUCUGGGCAUUAACUGACGCUGAGGAGCGAAAGCAUGGGGAGCGAACAGGAUUAGAAC
rnacentral:rRNA from 1 species